UUGCCCUUUUUCUUUAUCUUGCCACCCUUAGGGUUCAGUGCUUUCUUUGAACCCUUAAAGUCUGACCUUUUUUUAGAGGUUUUAUCCACAAGAAGAAGUGGAGCCUUUUCCUUCUUCAUGCGGCUCUCAGCUGUCUUGAGCAUAUUUAACAGCUCAGACAAGGAGGUAUUUAGUUUAUUCAUAUGAUAGUUCAUGACAAACUGAGC
rnacentral:lncRNA from 1 species